GACGAACGCUGGCGGCAUGCCUAAUACAUGCAAGUCGAGCGAACAGAUGAAGUGCUUGCACUUCUGACGUUAGCGGCGAACGGGUGAGUAACACGUAAGGAAUCUACCUAUAAGCGGGGGAUAACAUUCGGAAACGGGUGCUAAUACCGCAUAAUAUCUUCUUCCGCAUGGAAGAAGAUUGAAAGACGGCUCUGCUGUCACUUAUAGAUGACCUUGCGGUGCAUUGGUUAGUUGGUGGGGUAACGGCCUACCAAGACGAUGAUGCAUAGCCGACCUGAGAGGGUGAUCGGCCACAUUGGGACUGAGACACGGCCCAAACUCCUACGGGAGGCAGCAGUAGAGAAUCUUCCGCAAUGGGCGAAAGCCUGACGGAGCAAUGCCGCGUGAGUGAAGAAGGCCUUCGGGUCGUAAAACUCUGUUAUAAGAGAAGAACAAAUUGUAGAGUAACUGCUACAGUCUUGACGGUAUCUUAUCAGAAAGCCACGGCUAACUACGUGCCAGCCGCCGCCGUAA
rnacentral:rRNA from 1 species